rnacentral:rRNA from 1 species
CCUACGGGAGGCUGCAGUGGGGAAUAUUGGGCAAUGGGCGCAAGCCUGACCCAGCAAAGCCGCGUGAAGGAAGACGGCUUUCGGGUUGUAAACUUCUUUUAAGAGGGAAGAGCAGAAGACGGUACCUCUUGAAUAAGCCACUGCUAACUACGUGCCCGCAGCCGCGGUAAUACGUAGGUGGCACGCGUUGUCCGGAUUUACUGGGGGUAAAGGGCGUGUAGCCGGGCUUACAGGUCAGAUGUGAAAUUCCGGGGCUCAACCCCGGACCUGCAUUUGAAACUGUUGGUCUUGAGUAUCGGAGAGGUAGGCGGAAUGCCUAGUGUAGCGGUGAAAUGCGUAGAUAUUAGGAGGAACACCAGGGGCGAAGGCGGCCUGCUGGACGACAACUGACGGUGAGGCGCGAAAGCGUGGGGAGCAAACAGGAUUAGAUACCCCAGUAGUC